ACAUGGGUGCAGGGGCCCAAGGACUUGGGGCCAUCUUCUACUGCUUUCCCAGGCCAUAGCAGAGAGCUGGAUCGGAAGUAGAGCAGCCAGGACUCAAACCAGCACCCAUAUGGGCUGCUGGCAUUACAGGCAGCGGCUUUACCCAUUAUGCCACAGCACCAGUCCCUAAAUAAAUCUUUAGACAGAAAAAGAAUUUUCUAGAACCUUUUGUGUAGUGAAAUGGCCUUCAACCACAGAACCAGGUUGUUGAAUGUCCUUUACAGUCCUCGAGCCUCUGGCUCCCCAGCCCUGGCAAGGGCUCAUGGGAGCGCUCCCUGCACCACCACCAGCCUCGGAGACUGGGGGCCUGGCCUGUGCCCACUCAGCCAACACAGACUGAGUAACAAAAGGAAACAGACUCACCCGGGGCCCCUCGGCCCUGGCAUCUCCAGCCAGCACUGCAGGGUGACCUCUCGGGUGGCGCCAUCUCAGACGUGGCCACAUAGGUACAGCCUACUCACUGACCUGAGCGUGUCUCUGAUGCCAGGGCACCACGCUCGAAACUGUGUGUGCCUGGAAAGACAAAGUGGGGUUGGGGAAGAGAGCAGCCGUGCUGAUGACAGCUGUCCUCGUCCCCGUACUCACCGAGCUUCCGAGACUUUGGCACAACAGGCAGUGAGGGAGAGCCCUGCUGAGGCCACCCCACGCCUUCCUCCCUCAGCCCCGUGUUGCUGAGCCAGCUGCCGGAGGCCUGGGGCUGGGGCAGCUCUGUGGGCGGAGGCUGCUUCCAGAAGCUGCUGUCCACUGUUGCAGGCCCGGCCCUCAGCUGCCGGAGACGCCGCGGGCUCAGGCUGCGCCCGCCGGCUGCCUUCUCCAGGACCAAGCAGAGAGUUCACGGCCUCCCUCCCACUUCGACUGGCACUGAGACCCCUCUUCCAGCGGAGUGGCACCACUGGGAGAAGGCGUUCAAACGCCGGCUCCGAUUCGAUUAGGAGCAGCAAAGCGCACAGCGUGCCUCUGCCACCUCUCCCACUGGUUCUGCCUCCUCCUGAGCCCGGAGAACUGGUCUUCGCUCAGGAACUUGAAGCUCAUCACGUGCUCACAAGCUUCCACUUCAAUUUUGCCAACAACCAGAGACUGCAGCAGGCAAGCCGACUCAGCAUUCGCAAGCGCUCAUCCCUAUGAAAUGGGAACGUCCUCCUCCACAGCAUCCAACCAAAACUGAGAAAUAAACUGGACGCUCAGGCCGUCCACAGCGCGCUCGCUGGCCUUCACCAGAAACGCCUCUUCCCCACGGCCACUGAUGUUGGCCCUGUACUUAACGGACUCGUGCGGACAACGUACCCUUUGUUUCUAUGUAUUGCUAAGGGAGAUACUCGGUGCACAGAUGGGGAAGCUCAGAGAUGAAGAGGACUUCUGGCAGCUCAAGGUCACGGUCAGUGCACUGCUUCACACCACGUUCCUCCGUCUAACCAGCUGAAGAGAGCUGGCCUUGCCCUUUCCACACAAGCACCCUCCCAGGGCCGCUCCUCGCCCUUACCGGCACCGGCAGCGUGCGGGUCUCAUCGGGGUCCUGGCGCCCAGCUUUCUGGCCCAGCAGCCUGUGUGUCUGGGUCCCAGGCAGCCUCACGAGGCGCCGUCUGCAUUCUGCUUCACUGAGGCCUCAGACAACAGUGACUGCGCACACGCUCGGCUCUGACGCGCACCGGCUUCUCCCAGCUUGGUCAGAACACAGACGGGGCUCCUCCCUGGCAGACCGAAGGUGCUGGGGGCGGCACGUUCUCCCAUGGAGGACAGGCUAUUCUUAAAACACCCACUGCAUGGCACUCAGCUUUCAGCAGGAACCAGCUGUUUUUAAGGACGGGUGUGUGUUUGGCACGGGUACAUCCAGGCGACCCUAGCGCGACUCCCCCCCGAAGCCCAGGCCCUCAAGCAGGUUUGGAGUGGUCUGUCCAGAGCCCGACUCACCGCAGCUGUUAGGCCGCAGCAUCAGAGCUGGUGCCACUAGCAACCUUCCUUCCACAGCAACUACGCCGUCUGUCGGCCACAGACCUGUGGGAUGAGAAGGGACUUGGGGCAAAACCCACCUCUGAGAAGAGCAACAGCUAGGCCAGAGCGAGUGGGUGACGGCUUUGCUCUGCUGCAAGCAGACGUGGAAGAUCAGGGAGGAGCGUGCGCUCUCUGGGGGGCACAGGGCAGUCACAGCCAGUUCUCUUUCUGCCCACUCCCAGUCCAGCACACAGGAACGCAGGUAACAGCUUCUCGACCUUCCUGUCCACCUCGGCAUGUCAGGGCUCUGCUCCUGACGCCCUGCCAGGGGAGGAUGGCGCUCAGGGUGCAGCCAGACCAGGAGCCCGGAGGCCAGAGGCAGUCUGAGGAUACUCGGAAAAGGGAAGCUCGCGAAGACCCUGCUUGCUUCGCCCUUUGUUAGUGCAGAAGAUGUCGGGCAAAACCAUGAACCAGAGUUCUCCAGGGCCUGGCGUCCUGGCGCGGAUCCCU